rnacentral:rRNA from 1 species
AUUGAACGCUGGCGGCAGGCCUAACACAUGCAAGUCGAACGGUAGCACAGAGAGCUUGCUCUCGGGUGACGAGUGGCGGACGGGUGAGUAAUGUCUGGGAAACUGCCCGAUGGAGGGGGAUAACUACUGGAAACGGUAGCUAAUACCGCAUAACGUCGCAAGACCAAAGUGGGGGACCUUCGGGCCUCACACCAUCGGAUGUGCCCAGAUGGGAUUAGCUAGUAGGUGGGGUAAUGGCUCACCUAGGCGACGAUCCCUAGCUGGUCUGAGAGGAUGGCCAGCCACACUGGAACUGAGACACGGUCCAGACGCCUACGGGAGGCAGCAGUGGGGAAUAUUGCACAAUGGGCGCAAGCCUGAUGCAGCCAUGCCGCGUGUAUGAAGAAGGCCUUCGGGUUGUAAAGUACUUUCAGCGGGGAGGAAGGCGGUGGAGUUAAUAACUUCACCGAUUGACGUUACCCGCAGAAGAAGCACCGGCUAACUCCGUGCCAGCCGCCGCGGUAA